rnacentral:lncRNA from 1 species
UUUUGUUUUUUCUUUUUUAUUCUUUUAACACAAAGAACAUUUCUUCUGUAUUUUUAUGUAAUCUGCCAGGAUAGCCACGCGUGCCUGAUAGCAUCUCCUUUUAAACCCAAAAGCUGAAUACAUCACCCUUGGAAGGGGAAAUAUCUUCCUUGUAUCAGUGAGUCACCGCCUCUCUCGCUAAAGCAGAAAUAAAAAUUAUUAAUUUAAUUCCAGCUGGGCACAUUGGCUCAUGCCUGUAAUCCCAGCAUUUUGGGAGGCCAAGGCAGACAGAUCAUCUGAGGUCAGGGGUUCGAGACCACCUUGGCCAACAUGGUGAAAUCCCAUCUCUACUAAAAAUAUAAAAAUUAACUGGGCAUGGUGUUAGGCAUCUGUAGUUCCAGCUACUCAGGAGGCUGAGGCAAGGGGAUCACUUGAACCUUGGAGGUGGAGGUUCAAGCAAUUCUCUGGCCUCAGCCUCCUGAGUAGCUGGGAUAACAGGUGCACACCACCUUGCCUGGCUAAUUUUCGUAUUUUUAAUAUAGUUGGGGUUUUACCAUGUUGGCUAGGCUGGUCUCGAACUCCUGACCUCAAGUGAUCCACCCACCUCACCCUCCCAAAGUGCUGGGAUUACAGGCGUGAGCCACCAGGCCCAGCCUAAUUUUUUGUAUUUUUAGUAGAGACAGGGUUUUGCCAUGUUGGCCAGGCUGGUCUCAGACUCUUAUCCUCAAGUGAUCCAGCUGCCUCAGCCUCCCAAAGUGUGGGGAUUACAGGUGUGAGCCACCGCACCCGGCCUUCUGCUUGAUCAAUUCUGCUAUUAAGACUCUGAUGCAUUCUUCAGUAUGUCAAUUUCAUUUUCAACUCUAGAAUUUCCUCUUGAUUCUUUUUAAUUAUUUCUAUUUCCUUGUUACAUUCAUCUGAUAGGAAAUCUGAAUUCCUUCUCUGUGUCAUCUUGAAUUGCUUUGAGUUUCCUCAAUACAGCUCUUUCAAAUUGUCUGCCUGAAAGGUUGCCUAUUUUUGUUUCUCCGUGAUUGGUCCCUGGUGCCUUAUUCAGUUUGGUGAGGUCAUGUUUUCCUGCGUGGUGUUGAUGCUUAUGGAUAUUCAUCAGUGUCUGAGCAGUGAAGAGUUAGGCAUUUAUUGUAGUCUUCACAGUCUGGGCUUAUUUGUGCCUGUGAUUCUUGGGAAGGCUUUUCAGGUAUUCAAAGGGACUUGAACCCCGAACCCAAUAAAACUGUAGUUCUGCGGACUCGUAAAGGUACCACCUUAGUGGUCUUGGAGAAGAUCCAGAAGAAUUCUCUGCAUUACCAGGCAGAGAUUCUUGUUCUUUUCCCUUGCUUUCUUCCAAACAAAUGGAGUCUCUCUCUCUCUCUCUCCAAGCUAGGCCUCUUGGAACUGGGGGUGGAAGGACACAAGAACCCCUGUGGCCAUCACCACUGGGACUGCACUGGUUCAGACCUGAAGCAGCCCAGCACUGGGUCUCACCUAAGGUCUGCUAGAACUGCUACCUGGCCAUCACCUGAAUUCACUCAAGGGCCUGGGACUCUACAAUCAGCAGGUGGCAAAACCAGCCAGGGUGUUGUCCCUCCCUUCAGGGCAGUGAGUUCCCUGGGAAGGUCCAGAGAUGCUGUCUGGGAGCCAGGGAUUGAUAAACCUUAGAAUUCUAUUCUAAGAUAGAAUAGAAUUCUAUAGAUGUAUCAUUCCACUGCAGGUAAGCUGGCACUCAAACCACAAGACAAAGUCCUUCCCACUCUUCACUCCCCUUUCCUCAGUCAGAGGAACCUCUCCUUGUGGCCACCACUUCCACCAGCCUGCAAGGAGUUCUCCCAGGCCACUGCUGAUGUUCACAAAAACCCCGAGGGCUCUUCAGGCAGCCUGCGAUGAAUGCUAUCAGGCCUGUGACUCAUCCUUCAGGCAGUGGGCUCCCCUUGGCCCAGGGCAGGUCCGCAAAUGCUGACCAACAGCCUAGGCCUGUACUCAGGGACCCCAAGAGCCUGCUUGGUGCUCUACCCCACUGUGGCUGAGCUGGUACCUAAGGGGCAAGACAAAGUCCCCUUUACUCUUCCUCCUGCUUUUCUCAAACAGAAGGCAUCUUUCACUGUAGCCACCACAGCCGGAAAUGUGCUGGAUCACACCUGAAGCCAGCAUGUCUCAGAGCCCAGUGCCCACAGGUGGAUGGGAAGUAGGAUUUAGUGGUGAGUAUUAAGAAGGGGCAGCACAGCAGAAGCCCUCACGAGUGCAGGGCCCACUACUUGUCCAGAGGGCCACAAUGAGGAUGUACUUGACCCCACACCCAUCUCAGAUGAGCCACUUCUCAGCCACCGUGUCUUCAAAUUCAUCUUCACUGAACUUGGUGAAGACCCACUUCUGUGAGAUGUGGAUCUUCUGGCAGCCAGGAAACUUGAACUUGGCCCUGAGCAGGGCCUUAAUCACAUGCUCCUUGUUCUCUGGGUUCAAGGCGGAUGGACAUGAUAAUUGGCCAAUGUGAACCCCAGCCACGGUGCCCCGGGGCUUUCCAAAAGCACCUCACAUACCUUUUUGGAGCCUACACUGGGGUAGUGCAAGGUCAGAGACAUGAACAUCCAUCUGAGGGCCUGUCUCCAAGGUCCCUUAGAGCAGCCAUACAAGAAACAGGCUGCAUACACCACCAAGGAAGCUGCUGUUUGCAGCCAUUGCACACGUCCCCCAUGAGGCGAGGAACUCAGCCAGCUGAGUUGGCUGUAGAUGCCCGCAGCAUAUUACCUGGCUAUGGCUGUUGGUUAUACAGGGCCCAGGGGCUCCUUAGUCAGCAGAUGAUGAAUGCUGCCAGGUCUCUGCUGUGAUGGGACAGCACUGAGUUCAAUGUAAAGUCCCCAAGUUGCUAGCUCUCCCUCUCCCAAAUGCACAGAUCUGUCUGUGCCACAUGGCCACUGCCAGGGGUGGGAGUAGGGGGUGGCCCAAAGAACUCCCUUAGCUGCCCCAGCUAAUGUCUCAGGAGGUUGUGUGCCCCUGACUCCACAGUCCACUGGUUGUGAGCCCAGCUCGGCACUCGGGUUUGCCUGUGAAUUGCAGUCCUGAUGGCCUAAACUGCCCCUCAAGUCUGCUAAGGGCCCCAGAGCACUCCAGCUCGCAGUGGCAAGGCUUGCCAGAACUCAAGCUCCAACUGCUAAGAUGGGCAAUUCCGGCAUUUUGUUGUCUGAAGUUUGUUAUUUCUCUGGAAGAGAUCAUGGGAAUAAUAGCACCUGAGGUCUUCUGUCACAGCAUGGCACGUCAGGGUCUUCUCUACCCAAAUAAUGUUCUUUGUUGGUGUAUAGAACUGCUACUAGCCUGG